AAACCGCAGUUCGCCGCCGCCGCCGCCGGGCACCCAGCCCCAGGGGGGCGGGCUGGAGGGAGGGGGCGGGCGCUGGCCGGGGGACCCCCGCAACCAUGGCGGGCGGGGAGUGGGCUGCCGAGCCGCUUCACCUGCCGCAGAGGGGGCGGCCGGCGCCGCUUCACCUGCCGGAGCGGGAGGCCACCGAGGCGAGGCCGAGGCGGCGGCGCGCUCGGCGGCGCCUCCGGGUCCUAGAACCGCAUCCUCCCGCUCGCCUCGGGCGAGGGAUUGGCCGGGUCUGGGUGAAGGGGAUCACGGCCUGGGGAUUGGAGGGGCACAUCUUCUCCGCACCGAGGAUCUCAGCGACUGCGAGCACGGCUCGGAGACCCACGGUGGUGCAGCGUUGGGGCGCCAGGGCUGCGUUCCCGUCUCGCGUCCCGGACUGAGAAGAGCCACUGACAAGACUUUAAGCAAGAGACGGAGAGUUAACAUCUAAUCUGGAGGAAGACCCUGGAAGGAGCCAGCCCCUUCCCCCAGGCUGACCUGGUUUAAGCCUUUCUUCUGCCAAGGUCACCAGCACCCCAGAUGGGUGAGAGAUGUGAUCACUGGUUUCGUGGCCUGACCAAGGACCUCCAAGACUUUUUUUUUUCUUUUAAGAUGGAGUCUCUCGCUGUUGCCCAGGCUGGAGUGCAGUGGCUCGGUCUCAGCUCACUGCAACCUCCACCUCCCAGGUCCAAGCAAUUAUCCAGUCUCAGCCUCCUCAGUAGCUGGGACCACAGGUGCGUGCCACCACACCCAGCUCAUUUUUGUAUUUUUAGUAGAGACGGGGUUUUGCUAUGUUGACCAAGCUGGUCUCGAACUCCUGACCUCAAGUGAUCC
rnacentral:lncRNA from 1 species